rnacentral:rRNA from 1 species
AUGAACGCUGGCGGCGUGCCUAAUACAUGCAAGUCGAGCGAACGGACGAGAAGCUUGCUUUUCUGAUGUUAGCGGCGGACGGGUGAGUAACACGUGGAUAACCUACCUAUAAGACUGGGAUAACUCCGGGAAACCGGAGCUAAUACCGGAUAAUAUUUUGAACCGCAUGGUUCAAAAGUGAAAGACGGUCUUGCUGUCACUUAUAGAUGGAUCCGCGCUGCAUUAGCUAGUUGGUAAGGUAACGGCUUACCAAGGCAACGAUGCAUAGCCGACCUGAGAGGGUGAUCAGCCCCACUGGAACUGAGACACGGUCCAGACUCCUAGGGGAGGCAGCAGUAGGGAAACUUCCGCAAUGGGCGGAGGCCUGACCGAACAACGCCGCGUGAGUGAUGAAGGUCUUCGGGUCGUAAAACUCUGUUAUUAGGGAAGAACAUAUGUGUAAGUAACUGUGCACAUCUUGACGGUACCUAAUCAGAGAGCCACGGCUAACUACGUG